rnacentral:rRNA from 1 species
GACGUAGGGGGCCAGCGUUGUUCGGAAUUACUGGGUGUAAAGGGUUCGUAGGCGGUGCGGCAAGUUGGGAGUGAAAUCUCUGGGCUUAACCCAGAGGCUGCUUCCAAAACUGCUGUGCUUGAGUGUGGGAGAGGCGCGUGGAAUUGCAGGUGUAGCGGUGAAAUGCGUAGAUAUCUGGAGGAACACCGGUGGCGAAGGCGGCGUCCUGGACCAACACUGACACUGAAAAGCGAAAGCCAGGGGAGCAAACGGG